GUCCUUCAGUCUGGGCAGGGCUGAACUGACAGUCCUCCAUCAAUAUGAAUGGGAAGAUUUGAUUUAUAGGAGCAGUUUUGCACAUGCCUUCAGGAUGAGAAGCUCCAGGGACUUGUGAAGAGGGCAUGCUGACCUGGGUCACUGCUAAGACACCUGGUAUGCUGCCUGCUCCCUAGCUGAGAUGGCCCAGACUGCCUGGAGGGAUCUAAGGGUCACGGGAGCACUCCAAGCAUCAAGUUUUCUUAUACAGCCCAGGGAUAUGACUGCCUACAGUGAGCUGGACCAUCCUAAGUCAAUCAUCAAUCAAGGUGCUGUUACAAAAUGGCCUUGAAAAUGAUUGGCUAAAGCAAAAGGAAUUUAUUCCUCAUAGUUCUGACAACUGAGAUAUCCAAGAUCAAGAUGUGUACCAGUGCAGUUCCCAGGGAUAGCCCUC